ACGUGAGCAAUCUGCCCAUCACAUCGGGAUAACUCCGGGAAACCGAAGCUAAUACCGAAUACGACCACUUCAGGCAUCUGACGGUGGUGGAAAGUUCCGGCGGUGAUGGAUGAGCUCGCGGCCUAUCAGCUAGUUGGUGGGGUAAUGGCCUACCAAGGCUUCGACGGGUAGCCGGCCUGAGAGGGUGACCGGCCACACUGGGACUGAGACACGGCCCAGACUCCUACGGGAGGCAGCAGUGGGGAAUAUUGGACAAUGAGCAAAAGCCUGAUCCAGCAACGCCGCGUGAGGGACUGACGG
rnacentral:rRNA from 1 species